GUGGGGAAUCUUCCGCAAUGGACGAAAGUCUGACGGAGCAACGCCGCGUGAGUGAAGAAGGUCUUCGGAUCGUAAAGCUCUGUUGUACGGGACGAAUGUUGAAGGCGUGAAUAAUGCCAUCAAAUGACGGUACUGUACGAGGAAGCCACGGCUAACUACGUGCCAGCAGCCGCGGUAAUACGUAGGUGGCGAGCGUUGUCCGGAAUUAUUGGGCGUAAAGGGAGCGCAGGUGGGAAGGUAAGUCUGUUUUAAAAGCGUCGGGCUCAACCCGAUGAGGGAACAGAAACUAUUUUUCUUGAGUGCAGGAGAGGAAAGCGGAAUUCCUAGUGUAGCGGUGAAAUGCGUAGAUAUUAGGAGGAACACCAGUGGCGAAGGCGGCUUUCUGGACUGUAACUGACACUGAGGCUCGAAAGCCAGGGGAGCGAACGGGAUUAGAAACCCGUGUAGUCC
rnacentral:rRNA from 1 species